rnacentral:rRNA from 1 species
GUGUCAGCCGCCGCGGUAAUACGGAGGGUGCAAGCGUUAUCCGGAUUUACUGGGUUUAAAGGGUGCGCAGGCGGAUAUGUAAGUCAGUGGUGAAAUCUCUAGGCUUAACCUGGAAAUUGCCGUUGAUACUAUAUAUCUUGAAUGCUGUGGAGGUAAGCGGAAUAUGUCAUGUAGCGGUGAAAUGCUUAGAUAUGACAUAGAACACCUAUUGCGAAGGCAGCUUACUACGCAGAUAUUGACGCUCAUGCACGAAAGCGUGGGGAUCAAACAGGAUUAGAUACCCCUGUAGUCC